UAAAACUCAAAUGAAUUGACGGGGGCCCGCACAAGCGGUGGAGCAUGUGGUUUAAUUCGAUGCAACGCGAAGAACCUUACCUGGUCUUGACAUCCACGGAAGGUCUCAGAGAUGAGACUGUGCCUUCGGGAGCCGUGAGACAGGUGCUGCAUGGCUGUCGUCAGCUCGUGUUGUGAAAUGUUGGGUUAAGUCCCGCAACGAGCGCAACCCUUAUCCUUUGUUGCCAGCGGUCCGGCCGGGAACUCAAAGGAGACUGCCAGUGAUAAACUGGAGGAAGGUGGGGAUGACGUCAAGUCAUCAUGGCCCUUACGACCAGGGCUACACACGUGCUACAAUGGCGCAUACAAAGAGAAGCGACCUCGCGAGAGCAAGCGGACCUCAUAAAGUGCGUCGUAGUCCGGAUUGGAGUCUGCAACUCGACUCCAUGAAGUCGGAAUCGCUAGUAAUCGUGGAUCAGAAUGCCACGGUGAAUACGUUCCCGGGCCUUGUACACACCGCCCGUCACACCAUGGGAGUGGGUUGCAAAAGAAGUAGGUAGCUUAACCUUCGGGAGGGCGCUUACCACUUUGUGAUUCAUGACUGGGGUGAAGUCGUAACAAGGUAACCGUAGGGGAACCUGC
rnacentral:rRNA from 1 species